UACGUAGGGCGCAAGCGUUGUCCGGAAUUAUUGGGCGUAAAGAGCUCGUAGGCGGCCAGUUGCGUCUGCUGUGAAAUCCCGGGGCUCAACCCCGGGCGUGCAGUGGAUACGGGCUGGCUAGAGGCAGGCAGGGGAGAACGGAAUUCCCGGUGUAGCGGUGAAAUGCGCAGAUAUCGGGAGGAACACCGGUGGCGAAGGCGGCGACCUGGUCCUUGACUGACGCUGAGGCGCGAAAGCGUGGGGAGCAAACAGG
rnacentral:rRNA from 1 species